AACCCAUGGUGAGGGCACCUUCUCAAAAAGUCCUCGUAUCUCUCCCACGCUUCAGAGAGUGUUUCUAAAUCCAUCUGCACAAAAGAAGAGAUAUCAUUACGUAAUUU
rnacentral:snoRNA from 1 species